UGAAGAUAACCCUUAGCGGUCAAGUAACCAUAGCUUAGGUCAAAUAUUACAACUUUAUUGAACCACUUCCACUUGCCCAGUUGCCUUGAAAUACUGCAUACCCCUACUCCUUGAGUAAUCCAUGGCUUCUUCGUAGUCUUUGCUCUAACCGUGGUAAGUUUUGGGGGAAAACAGUGUUCUAAUAAGAUUCACAGAUCCAGAGGACAGUGCGGAUGCAGCAGCCGCCAGAGGGUGUCAUCACGACAUUGUGGGAUGACCCGAUGGAGACAGAGCCUUCGCCUCCACUCGUCUUACUCGUGGAGCUGGACCCGACCACACUGCAGCUGUUGUCACCUUCUUCAUCUGGUUCAUGGCAGCAGGAGUUGGACGCUACCCUUCUGGUCAUUUUCCAGGAGACGUUUCCGCCAGAGUGCAGGCCGGAUGGCGGGGUACUGCCGGAAGCUGGUCGUCCCCUGCAGCCCCAGCUUCCGGCCCAUCCGAGCGUCCACCCUCUUGCAUCCCCUACCAUUGUAGCACGCCAUACACAAUGAUGGUUGCAUAUAAACGCUGCUCCUGCUAGCCUCAGCUGCACAAGUCUGGCCCGAAUCUGCCACGUGAUUAGCGCUACGCUGUCAGUAUCAAGUGUUUCCUUGGACUCUGUGUAUAGCAAAAACUGCACUGUUUUCAUGUCAUCUUUUGCUAACAACAUUUGCUAUAGUCAAGUAUUGUCAGUUUGC